UCUGUGUGUUUGGGAUGCAAGUUAUUUGAUUUUUAAUUUUCUGGGACUUUUCAUUCGAAAUUGGAAACAGCAUGCUAAAUAUUUACACAUCGAUGUCUCCCCAUCUCAUUUGCAUAUAACAGCUGGAUUAAUGCAAAUGCUCUUUGAUUAAAACUCUAAUAUUUGCCUUAUAACUAUCAUCACUUAUUCAUUGCUGACCUAGGGCUAAUAUUUGCAUUACACUGCUGCAGGCGGCUUAAAUUAUUUAGCAUGCAAAACUGAAAAAUGGAAUUAAAUCAACGUUGAAGAUGUCGAGCAGAAAAACACGAAAUUUAAAGAAAAAUCAGAGGGGUGAGGGCUUGUUAUAAAUAUUCAUAAGCGAAAACAGAGUACACACAUUUACCUUAAAGAGGCACAGAGCUGGUCUAAAUACUAGUUUGUACAUCAUGCAGAAUUGAAAAUACGGAUUGAAAUUAAUGCAUUGGACCGGAAAGAAGGAGUGGAGUCUCGGCUCGCCGAACCUGGCCAAACCCUUGCAAAUUCAACACGGAUUAGGUUUGACAGUCUUAAGUGGCAGAUUCCAAACGGACUUAACAGUUUCCUUUGCAAGAGUCGAAAAGGAAAAGGUGGGGAUGCGAGAUUUCGGAGCAGAAGUAGGCUUUGGGGAUCAAGAGACAGAGGAGAGAGCAAAAGAUACACAGGUACGAGUAUACGAGUAUAAACAUUUUGGGGACACAGUCGAACUUCCAACGGAGUUAAAAGUAGAUAAAAACGGGGUCCACAUAAAACUCAGGUUGAAAUAGAAUACUUGGCACACAUUGAUCUCCAUCAAGACACAACAUCAACUAUAGACCACACCAAUAUGCAGCAGAUAUAUCUGAACGCAUCUAGG
rnacentral:misc_RNA from 1 species